rnacentral:rRNA from 1 species
AUGACUUUAGGUUAGGUAAAAUCACCUGUUGAGCUUAAGCACAUCAAUAAGCAAAGGAAAAGAAACUUACCAAGAUUCUCCUAGUAAUGUUAAGCGAACCAAAAAGAGCCUAGCUUGAAAAUCAGUGUUUGAAUUGUAGUCUGGAGAAGCAUCCUCAGUGGUAGACCAAGCCUAAGUCCCUAGAAAGGAGCACCAGAGAGGGUGAGAGCCCCAUUAUGCUUGGACCCUAUUACACCAUGAGGCACUAUUUAUGAGUUGAGUUGUUUGGGAAUACAGCCCCAAUCGGGCAGUAAAUUCUAUCCCAGGCUGAAUUUGGGUGAGAGAUUGAUAGUGAACAAGUACCAUGAGGAAAAAUGAAAAGGACUUUGAAAAGAGAGUUAAAAAGUGCUUGAAAUUGUUAGGAAAGAAAUGGAUAGGGCCUGAUGAUGUGCCCCAAUUAGAUGUGGGAUUGCGAGAGUCAGUCCAUCGAUCAGCUCGGGGCAUGUACUAAUAUGGAUCAUAGUGGCAGCCCAAGCUUGGGCUUUCAAUAUGCCCAUUGAGACGUCAUCACCGUGAUCAUGGAAUAAAGUACGUGCCAUCUUAACCUACCUCAGCACCUAUACACUUUCGGUGUCACUUUGCGAGCUCCCUAUCUGACCCAUCUUGAAACACGAACCAAUGAGUCUGAAUGUAUUCAAGUUAACAGGCUAGAAAACUCAUAAAAUAUAAGGAAGCUGAUUGGUAGGAUCCUUCAUGGGUGUACCAACGAUUGACCGUGAUCUUCUGAGAAGGGUUCAAGUGUGAGCAUGCCUAUUGGGACCCAAAAAUGGUGAACUAUGCCUGAGUAAUGUAAAGCCAGAGGAAACUCUAGUGGAGAUUCACAGUGACAUUGAUGUGUAAAUCAUUCAUUUGACAUGGGUAUAGGGGUGAAAGACUAAUCAAAGCAUCUAGUAACUAGUUCCCUCUGAAGUUACCCUCAAGAUGGCUGGAGCCCUUAGCGAAUUCUAUAGGGUAAAGCCAAUGAUUAGAGACAUUGGGGGUGCAAUGCCCUCGACCUAUUCUCAAACUUUAAAUAGGUAAGACGGCAUGGCUGCUUUAUUGAACAUCACCAAGAAAUUGAGAGCUCAAAGUGGGCCAUUUUUGGUAAGCAAAUAUGAUGAUGUAGGAUGAAAAUGAAGCUAAGUUAUGGUGCCUAAUUAUGCACUAACCUAGAACCCAUAAAGGGUAUUAGUUACUUAAGAUAGUAGGACGAUGGUCAUAAAAGUUGAAAUUUGCUAGGGAGUGUGUAAUAACUCGCCAAAUAAACUAGCCUUGAAAAUGGAUGGUGCUUAAGCACACAACCUAUACCUGGCCAUCAGGGCGAGGGCCAUUCCUCGAUGAGUAAGAGGGCGUGGUAGUCAUUGUAAAACUCAGAAUGUGAGCCGAUGUAAAGUGACCAUUAGUGCAAAUCUUAGUGGUAGUAGAAAAUAUUCAAAUGAGAACUUUGAAGGUCGAAGAAUGGAAAGGUUCCAUGUGAACAACUCUUGCAUAUGGGCUAGUCAAUCCUAAGAAAUGGGAAAAACCCAUCCAAUAGCACGUCUAGUACAAGCUUCAAAAGAAAAUCUGGUUAAAAUUCUUGAACUAGGACAUAGUGGCUGACGACAACUUUAGGGAGUCUGGAGAUGUUUGCUGGGGCCUUGAAAUGAGUUAUCUUUUCUGUUUAACGACUUGCCCACCUGAAAAUGACUCAGCUAGAGGUAGGGUCUAGUCAUCCAAAGAGCAUUGCAUGCCAUGUGGUGUCUAGUGCACCUUCAACGGUCUUUGAAAAUUAGGAAGAUCGAGUGCCAUCCACGCCUGAUCAUAUUCAUAACUGCAUCAGGUUUCCAAUGUAAAUAGCCUAUGGUUGAUGAAACAAUGUAUGCGAAGGAAGUUGACAAAAUGAAUGUGUAACUUUGAGAAAAGGAUUGGCUCUAAGAGCUUGGCAUAGGGGUCAUAAUCCUGAACCCGUUAGCUACCGAUGCAUUGCUCGAGCUACUCCCAUAGUGAGAAUGGGUCAUCGCAUGCUAGUCGAGGGACAAACUAGGAAUGACUCCCUUAGGGUCCUUCCCCAUACAAUGAAUAGUUAUCUCAAAAUUGGUAUGGACAAGGGGAAUUCGAUUGUUUAAUUAAAACAAGGCGUUAUGAUGGUCCCUACAAAUGCUCACUCAAUGUGAUUUUUGCUUAGUGCUUUGAAUGUCAAAGUGAAGAAAUUCAACCAAGUGUAGGUAAAUGGUAGGAGUAACUAUGACUCUCUCGAGGUAGCCAAAUACCUCAUAAUCUAAUUAGUGAUGCAUAUGAAUAGAUUAGUGAGAUUCCUACUAUCCCUGUCUAUUAUCCAAUGAAACCAUAAGUAAGGGAAUGGGCUUGGUAGAAUCAGUGGGGAAAGAAGACCCCAUUGAGCUUGAUUCUAGUCUAACUUUGUGACAUGACUUGAUAGGUGUAGGAUAAGUGGGAGCCUUCAAGUAAAAUCAUAAUACCACUACUUUUAACAUUAUUUUACUUAUUCUCUGAAUGAAAAGAAAAGCAUGACCCCUUCUUUUAGACCCAUGGUCAACCUUGGUCAGUCAAUCUGAGUGAAAGACAUUUUUUGGUAGGGAGUUUGGCUUGGGCAGCCCAUUUAUUAAAAGAUAACACAAGUGUCCUAAGAUAAGCUUAAUGAGAAUAGAAAUCUCGUGUGGAACAAAAGGUUAAAAGCUCAUUUGAUUCUAAUUUCUAGUACAAAUAUGAACCAUGAAGGCAUGGCUUAUUUAUCCUUUAGAUCUUCAUAAUUUGAAGCUAGAGGUGUCAGAAAAGUUACCACAAGGAUAAUUGGCUUGUGGUAGCCAAGCAUUCAUAGCGAUGUUGCUUUUUUACCUUUCGAUGUUGGCUCUUCCUAACAUUGUGAAACAGAAUUCACCAAGUGUUGGAUUGUUCAUCCACUAAUAAAGAAUGUGAGCUAGGUUUAGACCAUCAUGAGAUAGGUUAGAUUUACCCUACUGAUGGCAGCUUCCCAACAGUAAUUCAACCUAGUACGAAAGGAACCACUGAUUUGCACAAUUAGUCAUUGCACUUGGUUGAAAAGCUAGUGGCGUAAAGCUAUCAUGCUUUAGAUUAUGACUGAAUGCCUCUAAGUCAAAAUCUGGGCUAGAAGCAAUGUACAUGCUCAUUGCUCAAUUGCCAACCUAUAGUAGGGGCCCAUAACCCCUAAGGGUAUGUGUCAUAGGUGCAGCCCUCAUGGCGGACAAGCCAUACGUGCCUCUUUG